rnacentral:rRNA from 1 species
GACGUAGGGCGCGAGCGUUGUCCGGAUUUAUUUGGCGUAAAGAGUUCGUAGGUGGCUUGUCGCGUCGACCGUGAAAACUCGCAGCUCAACUGCGAGCCUGCGGUCGAUACGGGCAGGCUAGAGUUCGGUAGGGGAGACUGGAAUUCCUGGUGUAGCGGUGAAAUGCGCAGAUAUCAGGAGGAACACCGAUGGCGAAGGCAGGUCUCUGGGCCGAUACUGACGCUGAGGAGCGAAAGCGUGGGGAGCGAACAGG